AAAUCUCUUACUGCGGUUCCUUAUCGAUACGAGGUCGCGUUCACUCGAUAGGACCUCCUUGUCGAUUUUCCCUCCACGAAUUCUAUCUUUCGGCGGCGAUGAUUCGAUGGAUGUUCCAUCCUUCAAUUUCCAUAGGCAUACGGCACGUUUUUGUAAUAUUUAUGGAACGUUUCAAGCGUUCUUUUCGAGCGAAAGAGAGGAAAGCUUACGUUUCUGGUAAGAACAAGUUGAAUUAGUUAAUAACAUCGGAAUCAGAAUAUCAAUAUUUUAUUAGCGUAGCGAAGUUUCGCUCGAUACCCAACAGCAACUAUCCAGAAGUUUAUUUAUCUUGAAAUUGGUGGAUUAAGGAGAAACUAACCGUAAUCGUCAGACGUCUGGCGGUGGAUGUGGUUUCGACCAGGCGGACGUAGCGUUAGUAGAUAUUUUCCAUCAAUGUCAGACGUUCGUGUACUAAUGCAUCGAAGAUGCGCGUUUCUGCACGAUUUUCAACUGUCGCAUUCGGUUAUCGAUUUAUAAGAAAUCCCACCUUUACACUAACUUGUAAAUGAUCGUGUAGAGAAACGUAGGCGAUAUAGCCGUUCCCUAAUUGAAUCAUUUCAAGCGCGUUCACUUCGCUACUACGAAUUCAUUUCUGCUCUUUUGCAUUUUUUAAUCUAGGAAAUUAUAAGCAACGAAUUUAAUUAUUGCGAGGUAAAUUUUUCUGUUAAAAACGGAACAAUAUAUAGUAGGUAAUAGGUAUUACUUAAAUUUGAAAGCAACAUAUGGGUUAACGUAUUCAUUGUUAGAAAGCGUAGCUGCAUUGAAAUUGCACACUUUUUUCAUUACAAAUGUCUUCAUCUUUAUUGCAACGUACUAUGUCUAACGCUUCCUCUAUUUUUCUAAGCCAUAUUGUUGAUAAAUUGAAAAACUGCGGUAGUCGUGCCAGCCGCGUUAUUCGAAUAAUCAAAGCGUGGUAGCGAAUACAUGACACGAAUGAUAUGAAAUUAUAAUUUAAAGGAAGAUGAUACAAAUAAUAAUAAAUUCGACGGAAUAUUUUUAAAAAUACCAUUUCAUCAGUCGCGUUCUUGUAUUUUUCAAUUUAUGCGAUCGAUCGAUACGAUAUCUGAACCACUUGAACGUUCGAUUCUUAUGUUCAAGAGAUUGGUAAUCCACGAGUCAACUAUUUAUUUAACAGGUUAAAAUAAUCGUUUAAACCUCUGAGAGAUUGAUGGAAUAGAAAAAUACGAGUAAUCAGGAUAGGAAAAAUCCAGCGUGGCAGACUUCAGAGAUACUCGGUAGCGAAAACAAAAAAGUUUGUUCGGCGGUUGCGAAUUUAGGGCGCGAAACGUGGACGGGCGUCGAGCGUCCCUGAAUUUACGGGAUUUUCGUCGGCGGGCGCGAUUUCACCGUGGCGCUUUGCCAUUGUAUUCGCGGAAUUUCUCUCGUUCAUUGUUACAUAGCGGCGUUGGUGGCGCGGUUGGAAAAUUACGAGGCUGCCUCCUCCACUUCCUCUUUCUUCGUCUCUCGUCCGGCCGCGUUAUUUCUCCGGUGUACAAUGACGUGGAAAAGCCGAAGAAGGCUUUCACGCGCGUCCUUGUUGUCGCCUCGUUUUUACCUACGUUUUUUCCUUCCUAUUUGCACCUGUCCGUGACGUCCGGUAACGCGAUUGUAUCUUUCGUCACAACGAUACGUAGAUUCGCUUUGUUAACCCUUUUGCUGCUUUACCCUUGGAACUGGCAACGCUUUCAAUACGAAAAAAUAUGCGUCCGAAUAAUCGAAUACAUCGUUGUAAAUAUUAAUUAUGGUGUAAUUAUUAUUAAACGUCAAUCAACGAUAAAUUCUGACAUAAAUGGAAAUACAAAUGAUUGCGUUGUAUCGAAGACGAGUAUCUAAGGUUUUCAGCGAGCCAUUAAAUGGUCAGUAGUUGAGGGCUCAGUGGACAGACGCAUCGAGGGAUUCUUUGAGAAAGAACCUGGAUAUAGUAAUUUCUUAAUUCAAUAGGUGAAAUUUUGAAUUCGGUACGUUUAAGUUCAAAAGUAAAUUCUGGAAUCAAAUUACGCGUUUAAAGCAAUAUCGAUGAAGUUGAAUGUUUCUUACAAAUUGUGCAUUUAUCACGUAUUUCCUAUCAGAUCGCUAUCUUUCUCGACUAUAUUAUCUAUCGGAGUACUUCUUCUCAGCCAUCGAGUGGACUAAAAUCAAACAGAAAAUGAACAAGAAUUGACCUAUCGUAUUUUUUUCCAUGUGAUGUUCGAUUAGAAAAAAGAAAACAACAAAGAGAGUUAUAACAAGGGGAGUACACGUUGUUGGGAAAGUGGUUUGUCACUUUCACAGUUUUAUCAUUCUACGUCUUAGAUGGAGUAGCGUAUGUAGACUUUGUCUCGUUCGUUAAGCUCUGCACCAAGUCGUCGCUUCCUCUUGCGAGAUUCACUUUGUAGGCCAUGGAUGAAAGAGCGCGUGGAGAAUCGUGCAACCUUCGACGAACAAAGGUAAUCGUAAGGUUGCGCGGCUUGUGUAUCCGGCAACUGUGUUUCACGUUCACUCGAUACCUAGCGUUUUAUAAGCGUGAAUCGCAGUUACAUGAAGCGUGAGUAGCGUUUUUCCGUGACAUUACGGAAAUACGAUAAGAACGGACAUCGCAGUAAUCCAAUCGUAGGCCGACACUGAUUUUAUUAACGGUAGCGAAUACCGACGACGAUCGUGUUUAGUUGGUUCUAUUCUAUGCUGCGACAACGUUGAUCAUCGUUCCCUCGAACGGCAGGAACGUCUUCGUGCAGAAGCAUUGAUUGAAUUCAUGCUCGGCCGGAUUUCUCCGAUUCGCUUGCUCGAGCCUGGAAUAAAGCGUAGAUCGAGAAACGAAGAGAGGAAUCACGGACCGGCGUAAGAGGAUUUCGCCUAACUCCGUCCGUCUACUGAAUAAUUGAACCUCGCGGCAAUCUCUGCCGCCCUGUUCCGCCAAGAAUGAGACCGACAAACCUUCGCUUCGGCUCGAUAUUACGGCCGAAGCUAGGGAAAUUGCUUGGCUGGCCGCGAGGCACGAAUUUGCAUGGCCAUUUUCACGAUCGCAAUUCUACGAUCUCCAAUGGUUUUGUAAUCGUACAAAAACUCCACCGAUCAUUUGCUCUUCGCCCGCGUGACUCGCUCUUUUCCGACGACGAGGACGACCGCUUGGCGACCAAUGGGGUAGACGCUUUGGCAAAUUUCGCGUUAGCGGGACCGCGUCAUCGAGGUCGAUGCGCCCGUGGAAGAUGGACGAGGAGGAAGGGGUUCGUACCGAAGUAAAAAUUGACGAGAACGAGACGAGAACCACCUCGAGGAGGGAGGAAGAACGUCAGAGUAAGAAACUGAGCGACAGAGACGGUAGAGAGAUUUUUGGGGUUAAUAGGAGAGGUAUCAAGGGUUGGAAAGAUGGCUAACGCGUUUAAGAGAGUCUCGCUAAGGGAGCCUGGAAGUAAUUCCAUUAAUAACGAAAAUUAAUUGAACGACGAGUUCUUUCCGUGGAAUUCCGCGAGUGGUCUGACUCGUAUGAAAGGAACGGAGUUCGUGGCCGAGUUAAAAGGACGUCCUUAGGACGAGCUAAGGACGUUUCCCGAAUCCUUUGUAAUUAAAGACUUUCCACUCGAGAGGUGAUCGUCCCGGAAGUUGUGCCAUCGAGUAGAGGAAACAGAGCGUACGUUAACGAACGAUAUUUAUCACGUUCGUGGUCUCGAAUUAAUCGCAGAUGCGCCUGAAACAAAGAGACGUUAUCGGUCUCGUUUUUAUCUCCAUCUGUCGUUUAUUUUGUUCUAUUUCAAUCACCUGGAAAAAUCUGUACGGUAACGAGAAGAAAUUCGUGCAGAAGAGAGGAAAGUUCGUGUAAAACGAAUCGAAUGGAACGAGAGUGUCGGACGCGAUGUACAAAUACUUCAUUAGCGCGCAUAGAAAUUCACCGAGUAACCCAAAGGGGUUUUUAUCGUAUAUUUUAAACGACAGGACAAUGUCCGUCGAUCGGCUUCAAGUGAGAGUUAUUUAUAUUUCAACUUUAUCCUCGCGCGAGUCCAGCUUCCGUUCGCGAACCUCCUAUCGAGAGGAGACGCAGUUGCUCGUCUCUGAUUUUUAUUCUCCCUUGAUGAAAUCUAUUCACGCAAGCAGGAAGAUGGAUAAAAUUCCUGGUAUACCAGUUAAGCGGUCUUAUACUAAUGUCAGGCGUGAUUAAAGCAUAAUAGAAUACCGAUUGCGCGAACUAUUAAUAGAACGAUCAAUUAUCGGAACAACGAUUAACGAAAAAUUCGAUGAUGGCGAGUAAGAUUGGCAAAUAUAAUAGAUUAGAAAUAGAUACAGUGGUGGCAGCGAGAGAUUACGAUACUCUUACUUAAAAAAAAUAUUACCUUCUCUUUAAUAUCGAUAUUUAUAAUUCAAAGAAAAUUGCUCGAUUAUCCAGCCUGUGUCACGAUCAAUUCGGAUAAUCAAGACUCCGCCGUAUAAUAAACGUGUAAAACGUGUAAAUUUAUGUACAAAGCCGAACAGAAAACUAACGCGUCGCGUCGAUUCUAUUUUACUUCGUUUAUAUUUAGUUUAUUCAUGGUUUUCUGCUUUGAACGCCUGCCGGUUAUAUCAUCGUUUACGCGAUUCUGUCUUAUUAUAAAUAGGAUUUUGAAUAAAAUAUUAGGUUGUGGGAAAAGUUUCUUUCGUUUCAUAAGGUGAUAACAGAUGAACAAGAAUUUCUGUUUUAUAUUAUUUUAUCGAAUUACGUAUGAUCCAUUUCGUUCUAUCUCUAUUGUUACGUUCCUGCAUAAUUCAAUAAACUGAUAUAAAACAAAAAACGAUUAUAAAACGAAAGAAGCUCCUCAUACGAUGAUCAACUAUAUCCGGUUGAUUUUUAUCGGGAAUAAAUAAUUUAUAAAUAAACGUAGCGAUCAAAAACGAAAGUAUCAGUCGACAGGUGUUGAGUCGCUUGUGCAACACGCCCUAAUAGCACGUGCAACAUCGCCUUUGACACGAUCGCUGACCACGCAUCGGUGUAUACCUAUAAACUAAACCGUAUAUGCCGUUGCAACGAAUCGUGCGUUCGUAUCGCUAGAUUAAAUCACGCUUCACGCGGAACGAAGAGCUGCGGCACGAAGCGAGCCGCGUAACCCGGCCUUUGCGCUCGAGAAACACGCGUAAGAGGGAAUCGGCCGACGAACUGCGAAACUACAAAGCCCCUGUGCUCGAUUGUGUACAGUGUGGUCUACUAGCUUCCGGUCUCUGGCGUGCAGCAGUUUACUAUCGAGCAUCCGGCUAUUCCGUCCACGCAAUCUCUCUUGUCUAUAACCUGCGCGAAUCUCCGAAGCGUAAUCCUCAAAGUAUAGAGAAUAGAGAGCUACCUGUCGUUACUUAACGAAUUUCAUUAUUUUCCUCUCGAUACGCGUGCUGUUGGUGGUAAAGGAGAUGAGCCUAAGCGACGUAGGUUCGAUCGGUUUCUAACGAUAUUGCACCAUUUUCCUUUGAGAUCAUUUUUAGCAACAAGGUACGUACUCGCGUGUAUUUUCGUUAUUGGCCGAGAUGGUCACGUUUCGAAAUUUGUCGUCUACGUUGUCGGAUAGAAAGCCGAACGCAACUUUACCGUUGUUUUUACUAUCGAUUCUUGGGAGAAGUGUCUAGCUUUUAUUCCGCUGGAGAUCGGACAGUAAAAGCGUCAAAUAUGUACGCGGAGACAGUUGAAAUCGACGGGAGAUUGGAGAGGUUGAUGGUCGAAGCGCGGAAACGAGCGAAUCGUUCCCCUCUGCGAUCGGAUACACGUCAGAAAUGCGAGUGGGAUUGUCAAGCGCAGGAAUGAUGGUGCAGGUAGCACGGCAUUGGCGAUAGGGGCGUGCAGGAAUCGACGGAAGUGUCAGUGACAGUGUAGGGAUUUAACGAGUUUUCCUGCCCUUCUCCUAUAGGGUGUACUCGCGUCGUCGACCGACGUGUGUCUCAAAUAGCGUAAUAUAGCGGCAAAACGAUGGAAAUCUAAUUUCUCUCGAUUCAGCCACGUUGUUCUUGCGUCUGUCUGCUCGCUGACAACAUGCAGCGCGUGACUUAAUUAUAUUCUUGAUUCUGAAACCGGUCAGAAUGGCACAAGGCACACGACAGGGUCUUCGUGAACAGACGCAAGUCGGAAUCCUUACGCGAGCGUGCUGCUGCUCGUCUCUCUCUCUCUCUCUCUCUUUCUCUCCCUCUCUCUCUCUCUCUCUCUCUGUCUCUUUUUGCACGUUUCCUGUAUCUCGCUACUCAUCGUGCAACAUCAAUUCCAUUUUCUAUCUACAAAGACUGGCGCGUGAGAAGAGUCGCGAGACCGAGGGAGGAUGAAAGAAGGACAGGGAAUCGUGGAGAGCCUCACAGCGAGAGGUAGACAGAGAAGAGACGAGCUGUGAGGGUGGGAGGCGGGCGAAAGAAGUCGGAAGCGGUCGAGGGAAAGAAAGAGGAUUCGAGGAGAUUUAAUACCAGAUAGGAUUGAGAGGCAAGGAUAGGGCCGAAGGUAAACAUCUUCCUUAAAAGAGGGCUGAAUUUGUAUUUUGUCACCCGUGAGCACAUGCAUAGCUAAGCCUGCGGCCUCCUCUACCCGUCGCAACAACCGUGCUCAGGGGACGUCUAAAUUUUAACGGGUCGUGCGGGGUCGCUGUCGUUCGGACACGCCUGUAUCUCCGCGUACGUUAUAUUCGCUUGUUUGCCUUCUUUAUCUCUCGAGGGGGCAGAAGAUCGUCUUUUCGAUUCACCCCUCCGGUACUACGAUCGUAUUCUUUUUGCUUGGCGCGUUAAACAACUCAAGCAACGAACGAUGGUUCUUUUUAAGUAACUUUGACUAUCGAGUGGCGGUAAAAUGGGCGGCGACCGCGUUCCUUUGGAUUUACGAAACGUUCCAUACGCGUCAAUGGCGCGUUGGAAAGUUAAGCGGAUAACGACCUAGAAGAAAGAGGCGCCGUCUGGCCUUUUCCGCAACGACAAAUUACGUUAUUUGCCGCGGUUAUCCUAACGCGAGAACUCGUCAAUAUGGUCUCCUGUAAAUAGCCGUGAUGCGCUUAGGGUAGCGUCGAUGGGCACUUUCUGUCGAGCUUCUAACAAUUCUAGUCAAGCUGCUCUCUUUCUCUCUCUCUCACUUCCUCUCUCGCUCCUGGAUAAGCUUUUGUUCCCAUUGAAAACGGUGGACGUUGUUCUCCGCGAGCUCGAACCAACUCGUUUGAGAUAUUAAUCAGUGGAAGGAAGAAACAACGGAUCAAGCGGGUAUUACGUCGCCGUAGAGACUCGUAUCAUCCGCUUUCAGAUCUUCCCACUAGCCAUUUCGUCGCUGUGACGUUCUGACGUUACGAUUCCCGAUUUUGCUCGAUAACCGGCAACGGUGCACAAAAGUGUUUUUUUACCAUCGCGUUAUAUUCCGAACGCGUCGCGAUUCUUGUCUGUUUAUUUUAGUUCUCGCUGAAUUUUGUCAUUUUUUGUGACCGGUAGAAUGAAUCUGGCUGUAAAUGUUCUUCGUAGCAAGUUAGGACGCGUUCGAAUCAUUUUUUCUUUUUACUAUACAAUUUUAAAGUUUUCGGAUAUUCGCAGAAUCUCAGAGUUUGUUGUUCGUUUUCUGUUCGCCACUGUAUUUCUAGCUGUAAAAGAUAAAUUCUCCAGUUUACGUUUCUCCGUUGUAUUUCUCCAGGUUGCUAAGUCUGUUUUCUUUUUUAA